GGACUUUACGAGUCAGUGACGUGAAUUCCCGUUCAUGAACGAGUUAGUGACGCAAUUUCCCGUCCACGACCGGGUGAGGGACUGAUGCCAACGGAUCAGUGUAGUGUCUAAGAAGUGAGUGUGAAAUGCCCAUCACAGGGAAAAAGUUUCUGAAGGUCAUCAUGGAGCCCCUUUUGGCAAUCCAUGGGCUGAGAAGCCUCAACUCUCAUUCAUAAUCUGGCGCGGAGAGUGGACGGUUGCCCAUGAUUGAUCUGGAGACCUUUGACUUGAUGUUCAAGGAAAUAAAUAACAAACAGGAUGCAAGAAUGAAUGACGGAAUGAUUAAGGUUGGAAUUGAUUUUACGCAAAUGAUAAUAUGCGUGGUGGUGAAACUCGUGCAAAGAGGGCGCACAAGAAGACUGCUCUGGUAGCGCUGAGUAAUCCCAAAGUCUACAAUGGGUCGUGCCUGAUGUCCAUCGAGUUCAUCUUUGUAGAAUCUGUUGGCGACACGCACAGAGGCCACGGAUGAUGAAACAAGGACCGGAAUGACUUUAAAAUGAAAACAGGCUCCAGCGCUGAGUAGCAAAGGGGGCUAUCAAAACCCCACAAGAGAGUGAAGUUUUUGAACAAAUAUGAUUUUACGAUAAAGGAAAAUUAUAAUGCAAUAUCUUUUUUCUUUCUUUUAUGUUCUAUUGUACUAUGGAGUUAUCAUUUUUCUGUAUUUUUAUUUUUUUCUGUAUUUUUUAAUGUUCGAAAUAAACGUUUUAAAAAAAAAGAAAAAGUUUAUAUUGUUUCCCCCUUGUGUUACGCCGAGCUGGUUGUUUUGUUUAUUUGAUAUGUCCGACAUAAAAUAUGUAUAUAUAUUGUAACUUAGUAGUUUUGUUCUAUUAAAACAGCCCCCAGUCUUUAAUAUUGUAUGUAUAUUUUUACAUUUUUAAACAUGAUUUAAAAACAUUGCACAUUUAUAUUUGUGACGGUUGGAUAAUGUUUGAAAAUAUUUUUUUAUUUAGGUUCAAUUAUCGUUUUGGUUAAUUUUAACAUCAAAAGGUGUAUUUAUAUCUGCAGUUUGACUGUUACUAUAACCUAUUUUUAUAUUAAAAAAUGUAAAUUUU